UCCGAGUUGACCCCGGCAGUCUCCUGUGAGUCCCCAUCACCCCGAAGGGCAUGCUGGCAACACAGAACAAGGGUUGCGCUCGUUGCGGGACUUAACCCAACAUCUCACGACACGAGCUGACGACAGCCAUGCACCACCUGUACACCGACCACAAGGGGGCACCUAUCUCUAGGUGCUUCCGGUGUAUGUCAAGCCUUGGUAAGGUUCUUCGCGUUGCGUCGAAUUAAGCCACAUGCUCCGCUGCUUGUGCGGGCCCCCGUCAAUUCCUUUGAGCUUUAGCCUUGCGGCCGUACUCCCCAGGCGGAGCACUUAUCGCGUUAGCUGCGCUACCGGAGGGGUCGAUACCCCCGACAGCUAGUGCUCAUCGUUUACGGCGUGGACUAC
rnacentral:misc_RNA from 1 species